CGCCAAAUAACUACGAGUAAAAACUUAAAAUUUAAAAGACUUGACGGUACCUCACAGCAGUCUAGAGGAGCCUGUCUAAUAACCGAUACUCCACGAUUAACCCAACCCCCCCUAGCCUAACAGUCUAUAUACCGCCGUCGCCAGCCUACCUUAUGAAAGAAACAAAGUAGGCUAAACAGUCACACACUAAUACGACAGGUCGAGGUGUAACUAAUGGGGAGGUCCAAGAUGGGCUACACUUUCUAAUACAGAAAAUACGAAUAAACUAUGAAACAAGAAACUGAAGGCGGAUUUAGCAGUAUACUAAGAACAAAAUACAUAGUAGAAAUCAAAGCAAUGAGGUGCGUACACACCGCCCGUCAUCCCUGUCAAACAACCACUUAACUUCCAUAAACAAAAAUAGAACCUUAAAGCAGGGCAAGUCGUAACAAGGUAAGUGU
rnacentral:rRNA from 1 species